rnacentral:rRNA from 1 species
AUUGAACGCUGGCGGCAUGCUUUACACAUGCAAGUCGAACGGCAGCACGGGCUUCGGCCUGGUGGCGAGUGGCGAACGGGUGAGUAAUGCAUCGGAACGUACCGUGUAAUGGGGGAUAACGUAGCGAAAGUUACGCUAAUACCGCAUACGCCCUGAGGGGGAAAGCGGGGGAUCGUAAGACCUCGCGUUAUACGAGCGGCCGAUGUCGGAUUAGCUAGUUGGUGGGGUAAAGGCCUACCAAGGCGACGAUCCGUAGCGGGUCUGAGAGGAUGAUCCGCCACACUGGGACUGAGACACGGCCCAGACUCCUACGGGAGGCAGCAGUGGGGAAUUUUUGGACAAUGGGCGCAAGCCUGAUCCAGCCAUGCCGCGUGAGUGAAGAAGGCCUUCGGGUUGGUUAAAGUACGU